rnacentral:rRNA from 1 species
AGAGUUUGAUCAUGGCUCAGGACGAACGCUGGCGGCGUGCCUAAAACAUGCAAGUCGAACGAGGCAGCAAUGCCUAGUGGCGAACGGCGGAGUAAUACAUAAGCAACGUGCCCUGAAGACUGGGAUAGCCCGGGGAAACCCGGAGUAAUACCGGAUGUGGCCCUUGAUGGGAUCUAUCGAGGAUUAAAUGGUUUUUCGCUUUUGGAGCGGCUUAUGGCCUAUCAGCUAGUUGGUGAGGUAACGGCUCACCAAGGCGACGACGGGUAACGGGUCUGAGAGGAUGAUCCGUCCGAGUGGGACUGAGACACGGCCCACACACCUACGGGUGGCAGCAGUUGGGAAUCUUGCACAAUGGGGGAAACCCUGAUGCAGCGACGCCGCGUGGAGGAUGAAGGAUCUAGGUCUGUAAACUCCUUUUAUCGGGAAAGACUUAGGACGGUACCCGAUGAAUAAGGACCGGCUAACUACGUGCCAGCAGCCGCGGUAAGACGUAGGGUCCAAGCGUUGUCCGGAUUUACUGGGCGUAAAGAGCGCGUAGGCGGUCUGUUAAGUGUGAAGUGAAAUCUCCAGGGCUCAACCCGGAAACCGCUUCGCAUACUGGCAGACUGGAGGGAUGCAGAGGUGAGUGGAAUUCCUGGUGUACCGGUGAAAUGGGUAGAUAUCAGGAGGAACACCCAUGGCGAAGGCAGCUCACUGGGCAUCUCCUGACGCUGAGGCGCGAAAGUGUGGGUAGCAAACAGGAUUAGAUACCCUGGUAGUCCACACCCUAAACGAUGGAUACUAGGCGUAAGGGGUAUCGACCCCCCUUGUGCCGCAGCUAACGCACUAAGUAUCCCGCCUGGGGAGUACGGCCGCAAGGUUGAAACUCAAAGGAAUUGACGGGGGCCCGCACAAGCGGUGGAGCAUGU